rnacentral:rRNA from 1 species
GACGUAGGGCGCGAGCGUUGUCCGGAUUUAUUGGGCGUAAAGAGCUCGUAGGCGGCUUGUUGCGUCGACUGUGAAAGACCGGGGCUCAACUCCGGUUCUGCAGUGGGUACGGGCAGACUAGAGUGCAGUAGGGGAGACUGGAAUUCCUGGUGUAGCGGUGAAAUGCGCAGAUAUCAGGAGGAACACCGAUGGCGAAGGCAGGUCUCUGGGCUGUAACUGACGCUGAGGAGCGAAAGCAUGGGGAGCGAACAGG